GUGUUUUUUUUAUAAAAAGGGGAAAAGGGGGCCCCUCUUCUUUUUCAAAAGGGGAUAAAAAAAGGUUUUUUUCCGGGGGAAAAAACGGGGUGAAAACCCCCCCCAAAAGUUUUUAUUUUGAGGGGCGGGGUUUGGGGCCCCUGGAAUUUGGGUUUAUCACCUUCCUGGGGGUGGAAGGAGGUUCCCAAGGGUAUGGGUUUUCCCCUUUUAAAAGGGUACGGAAGGUGGUUUUGAAAGUUGUGAGGCAGUUCGGUCCCUUUUUGCGGGGGGGUAGGAGAUUGGUUGGGGUUGUUCCUAGUACGAGAGGACGGAGUGGACGCACCACUGGUGUUCGGUUGUGUUGCCAGACGCAUUGCCGGGUAGCUAAGUGCGGAAGAGAUAAGUGCUGAAAGCAUUUAAGCACGAAACUUGCCAAGAGAUGAGUUCUCCCAAUCUAAGAGAUAGUAAGGGUUGUUGUAGACUACGACGUAGAUAGGUCUGGUGUAUAAGUGUAGUGAUACAUUGAGCUAACAGAUACUAAUUGCCCGAGAGGCUUAACU
rnacentral:rRNA from 1 species